UCUGUAAAAUAUACUAAAAAACAUUGGAUUGUGUACUUUAAAUGGGUGAAGUUAUGGUAUAUAAAUUAUACCCCAUUAGAGCUGUUAAGAGUGUGUGAGUUAAUGGUGUGUGUGUGUGUGUGUGUGUGUGUGUACCCAUGUUCACUCAGGAUGGGGCAGCACCAAAUUGGCUCCCUCUGGCCCCCACAGAC
rnacentral:sRNA from 1 species